CGGGGCGGCGGCUUACCAUGCAAGUCGAGCGGUAACAGAGAGUAGCUUGCUACUUUGCUGACGAGCGGCGGACGGGUGAGUAAUGCUUGGGAAUAUGCCUUAUGGUGGGGGACAACAGUUGGAAACGACUGCUAAUACCGCAUAACGUCUACGGACCAAAGGGGGGGAUCUUCGGACCUCUCGCCAUUUGAUUAGCCCAAGUGAGAUUAGCUAGUUGGUAAGGUAAAGGCUUACCAAGGCGACGAUCUCUAGCUGGUUUGAGAGGAUGAUCAGCCACACUGGGACUGAGACACGGCCCAGACUCCUACGGGAGGCAGCAGUGGGGAAUAUUGCACAAUGGGCGAAAGCCUGAUGCAGCCAUGCCGCGUGUGUGAAGAAGGCCUUCGGGUUGUAAAGCACUUUCAGUUGUGAGGAAAGGGGUGUAGUUAAUAGCUGCAUCCUGUGACGUUAGCAACAGAAGAAGCACCGGCUAACUUCGUGCCAGCAGCCGCGGUAAC
rnacentral:rRNA from 1 species